ACACCUCAACUCUCAUGGUUUGCCGUGAUGAGCUUGGACUUUGGAGGUCUUGCCGGCCUGUGGUCGGCUCCUCUCAAAUGGAUCAGCUUGCCAGUGUUUGGUGGCAUCAUGGGUGUGAUAACUAUCUACGCCUGUGGUUUUCCACUGGAUAACCUUCAGUGAUGGAGGUUCGCUGGAGCUCAUAAAUGUCUCUCCUCAGUGAAGACAGCUUUUUGAAC
rnacentral:misc_RNA from 1 species